CAUAAAUACCUUGAGCAUGACAUCAUCAAGACCCGCCCCCAACCUAAUGACGGAUGUGCCAAUCAAGUAAAGAUGUGCACCGUUGUAGGAGCGAGAUGACGACGCGCUAUGCAAACGAUAUACAGUUAUCUCUCCAUCUAAAUCAAUAAGGAUGCAUUUUUAUUCAGGUGUGUAGAAUUAUGUGCCUUCAAAUUGUUCUACUUUAAGUGCGCUUCUCCGUCGCUUCCUCUUCACAUGGACGUCAUCAUGGGCGGUUUGACUGGGAAUGGUCCCCCCCCCCCGCCAGUGGGAUUGAAGGUAACUGAAACUGAAACUCACAUCAACAACUGAUUAGCCCUGAUAACCCUAAAAGCAACCUGUUUACUGAAACAAAAACUGAAAGUUGAAUGUAAAACUGAACCUAAACUGAAACAGGAACGCAGCACUUUAAAAAGAAGUGAAACUAAACAAAUGAAAGUCUUAUUUUGUCUGAUUUUUUUAAGGAACCUUUCACCAGACGGAGCCCCUGUUGAAGGCUGCAACUGCAGUCAUUGGUAACUCAGAUGGUUUAGCCGCAAAGCCCUCCGCCUCCUCCUACAGAAUCAGCCGGUGCCAGUGAGACCACCUCACCUGCCCGCCCUCCCCACACCGCACCGAGCACACGCUUCUAACAUCCGAGAUGAGCUCCAGACUGAACCUGGCAGGCCACACACGGCUUGGAACGUACAGAGAGCAAGCAAGGCCUCUCCGCAGAUCCCCCAGCUUGAACCUGUGGCCGUUGGUCUGGUGUCUGACCCGGCAUGCCAAGCAUUUGUUGAUAACGUUUUCUGGGGCUGUGGACAGCUGUCGUCUUGACUAAAAAACACAAUUCUAAUAUACUAUGAGAGUCAAUUAUUUGUUUGCAAACUGAAGAAAUCCAAACAGAAAUUGGACUGCUUCCUCCUGGUUUAAAUUACUCCCUGUUCACAACACAAUUAUACUAUAAAACACAAAAAAAAACUCAUGCCCAGCAAAAUACAGACAACUUGAAGCUAUCCCAUCAUGUCCUUACUGAAAUGAUAACGCAAUUAAAUUACAUGAAAAAAGAGUAAUGAAAUGUGCUUGUAAUUUUACUGAUAAGAAUCACAGAAUUUCCAUUUAUCUUGAACAGGUCUGUGACCAGAGGAUAAUAAACAUAAUGUGGAUGUUGUGUUUUCCACACAGCCACCAACAGCACAACACAUCUCUGAGCAGAUCGAAAGGCGGCAGCAGCAAACAUUUGGCUGUUACGUUGAGACUUUCAGGAGUGAGAAGAAGGAGGACAGAUUUACUGCCUCUCGUAUAUAUUCGCAGCCUGAUGGUUGUAAUCCGUAUCCAUCCUAUAAUUCAUUCUCCUUCUCCGGGGUAUCUGAGUGGGAGGAAAGCUAAUCUUCAUCCUGGAACAUUACGCCAAUCACUGAGGAGAUGAACACAGCAGGCGGGACUUACUGCAUGGCCUAGAUAUCGCUUAAUUUGGAUCACUUCAAACAACAUGGAAGAGAAACACAUCCCUUUCAUUAGGUCAGGUGUACACCAAGAUGCUUGGGCCGAGUUUGAGUCUGUUUAACUCAACCCUGGAGCUGAUCCUGUCCAAAGACAAGAGGCCGACGGAUCAGGGUCGACAUUCAUCCCUGAUUGACAUCUCCGUGGCGGGUGGCGCGCAGCACGGCAGGUAUAAGGUCAGAGGACGCUUAAAGCCAGGGAUCCUAUCUGUUCCUAUAUCAGAUGACAGCGUGUCUCGGUGGUCUCAUAGGUUAGCCGGAGAGAAGGAUUGCUAUCGAUCCGCACCACUCAAACGCUGAUGCCCUGCAGACGAGACGGUCUGAUGGCCGUCUGACUGUCUGCUACCGCGGUCAUACACGUCUGCCCGCGUCCCGCUCCUGAAACUACAAACACAGAUCCUCUGAAGACGAUAUUGAUAAAACACGACUUAUUUAUAUGAAUCGUACUCGGAUAGGACUGAGGCUAUCAUCAGCCAUCAGACAGAGGCUUCUGUCGGAUGGCUAAAACCGCAUAGGGCCGGAUCAAGUCAUUAGUUCCAGACCAAUGAAGCUGGAAGAAGGAGAAGAUUAUAAUUUGCCAUAUUUAUGUGUUUUUUUUAUUAAUUUAUUUGUGCAGCAGUCCCGCGCCAGAGCACGCCCCCCCCGGCCCCUCCUGCUCCCCAUUUGUGAAAUUGGAUGAGGUCAUUUCCUGUCAGAUGAUUAAAUGUACUUUGUGUUAUACUCAUUGUGUGUGUGUGUGUGUGUGUGUACGCGAUAUGUGUUUGUGUGUGCGUGUGUGCUUGCGUGUGCGUGUGUGUGUGUGUGCGUGUGUGUGUGUUCCGUGUUCCGUAGGAUGUGGGUGGUGAUUUAUGAAACAGUGGGGUGAAUGAGCACCGUCUGGAUUUGUGUUCGGCAGAAACCUCAACAAUACCGGAUGCCGCCUGAGGCUAGCUAUGUCCUGUGUCACAUGAAUGGAACAUUUGCAGCAUUUGUUGCUUGUGCAUGAGGUUAACGGUUUAACAUAAACAAUUAUGAAUGCAUUAGCCCCACGAGAGCACAGACAUGCAGUGAUUCACAGUCUCUCAGUAAGUAAGUACAAUAUGGUGGACCUCUACAAUCGGUCUCUACUGCUUUUCUUUCUUCUCUGAUGAUGGAACAUUCAUCUGACUGUGACAUGCAUCUGUCUAUCUAUCUAAUUAUCCAUCUAUUCAUCCUUCCAUCUAUCUGUCCCUUUACUGUGGUUGGUUUGCUUAACAGUCCCUGUAAUUACUGGAGAUUAUCAGUAACAUGUUUAAAAUAUGAACAAAAUAACUGUGAACAUCAAUAUUGAACUAGUUAGCCUGCACACACACACACACACACACACACACACACACACACACA
ensembl:lncRNA